CCUACGGGUGGCUGCAGUGGGGAAUAUUGGACAAUGGGCGAAAGCCUGAUCCAGCCAUGCCGCGUGUGUGAAGAAGGCCUUCGGGUUGUAAAGCACUUUCAGUGGGGAAGAAAGCCUUGGGGCUAAUACCCUCGAGGAAGGACAUCACCCACAGAAGAAGCACCGUCUAACUCCGUGCCAGCAGCCGCGGUAAUACGGAGGGUGCGAGCGUUAAUCGGAAUUACUGGGCGUAAAGCGCGCGUAGGCGGUCUGAUAAGCCGGUUGUGAAAGCCCCGGGCUCAACCUGGGAACGGCAUCCGGAACUGUCAGGCUAGAGUGCAGGAGAGGAAGGUAGAAUUCCCGGUGUAGCGGUGAAAUGCGUAGAGAUCGGGAGGAAUACCAGUGGCGAAGGCGGCCUUCUGGACUGACACUGACGCUGAGGUGCGAAAGCGUGGGUAGCAAACAGGAUUAGAUACCCCGGUAGUC
rnacentral:rRNA from 1 species